rnacentral:rRNA from 1 species
GGUUGAUCCUGCCGGACCUGACUGCUAUCGGAUUGAUACUAAGCCAUGCGAGUCAUUGUAGCAAUACAAGGCAUACGGCUCAGUAACGCGUAGUCAACCUAACCUAUGGACGGAAAUAACCUCGGGAAACUGAGAAUAAUGUCCGAUAGAACACUAUACCUGGAAUGGUUUGUGUUCCAAAUGAUUUAUCGCCGUAGGAUGGGACUGCGGCCUAUCAGUUUGUUGGUGAGGUAAUGGCCCACCAAGACUAUUACAGGUACGGGCUCUGAGAGGAGUAGCCCGGAGAUGGGUACUGAGACACGGACCCAGGCCCUAUGGGGCGCAGCAGGCGAGAAAACUUUGCAAUGUGCGAAAGCACGACAAGGUUAAUCCGAGUGGUUUCUGCUAAAGAAACCUUUUGCUAGUCCUAGAAACACUAGUGAAUAAGGGGUGGGCAAGUUCUGGUGUCAGCCGCCGCGGUAAAACCAGCGCCUCAAGUGGUCAGGAUGAUUAUUGGGCCUAAAGCAUCCGUAGCUCGUUUUGUAAGUUUUCGGUUAAAUCCAUACGCUCAACGUAUGGGCUGCCGGGAAUACUGCAUAACUAGGAAGUGGGAGAGGUAGACGGUACUCGGUAGGAAGGGGUAAAAUCCUUUGAUCUAUUGAUGACCACCUGUGGCGAAGGCGGCCUACCAGAACACGUUCGACGGUGAGGGAUGAAAGCUGGGGGAGCAAACCGGAUUAGAUACCCGGGUAGUCCCAGCUGUAAACUAUGC